rnacentral:rRNA from 1 species
AAACCCUGAUCCAGCCAUGCCGCGUGUGUGAAGAAGGCCUUUUGGUUGUAAAGCACUUUAAGCAGUGAAGAAGACUCUUCGGUUAAUACCCGGAGACGAUGACAUUAGCUGCAGAAUAAGCACCGGCUAACUCUGUGCCAGCAGCCGCGGUAAUACAGAGGGUGCAAGCGUUAAUCGGAAUUACUGGGCGUAAAGCGAGCGUAGGUGGCUUGAUAAGUCAGAUGUGAAAUCCCCGGG